AGGACGAACGCUGGCGGCGUGCUUAACACAUGCAAGUCGAACGAUGAAGCCUUUCGGGGUGGAUUAGUGGCGAACGGGUGAGUAACACGUGGGCAACCUGCCCUCCACUCUGGGAUAACUCCGGGAAACCGGGGCUAAUACUGGAUAUGACCUGGGAUCGCAUGGUCCUGGGUGGAAAGUUUUUCGGUGGAGGAUGGGCCCGCGGCCUAUCAGCUUGUUGGUGGGGUGAUGGCCUACCAAGGCGGUGACGGGUAGCCGGCCUGAGAGGGCGAACGGCCACACUGGGACUGAGACACGGCCCAGACUCCUGCGGGAGGCAGCAGUGGGGAAUAUUGCACAAUGGGCGAAAGCCUGAUGCAGCGACGCCGCGUGAGGGAUGACGGCCUUCGGGUUGUAAACCUCUUUCAGCAGGGACCAAGCGUGAGUGAGUGUACCUGCAGAGAAGCACCGGCUAACUACGCGCCAGCAGCCGCGGUAA
rnacentral:rRNA from 1 species